rnacentral:rRNA from 1 species
CUAGACUGAUUAGGUGAGUGAAAAAUUUUAAGUUGGUAGUUAAAUUGUUUAGGGGUAAUUUUAUUAUUCUAUGAUAUUAAAAAGUGAAAUUUAGUGUUGUUAAAUAGGUUACUUGAAGUAUCUCUUGAUUUGAAGCUACGAAGGUUAAGUUAUAAACCGGGAUUAGAUACCCCGUUAUUCUUAAAUGUAAAAUUAUUCGCUUUAGUAGUAUCUAGUUAUAAUCUUGAAAUUUAAAGAAUUUGGCGGUAUUUCAGUCUAGUUAGAGGAACUUGUCCUGUAAAUGAUAAACCACGCAUAAUCUUACUUCUCUUAAAAGUUAGUUUGUAUACCGCCAUUAUUAGAUGAUUUCAAGAGAAUUUAUCAGAAUGGCUUAUUGUCAGUAAAUUAGGUCAAGGUGCAGCAUAUAGGGAAGUAGAGAUGAGUUACAAUAAAAUGAGUUUAUACGGAUGUUUAUUCUGAAUUUGUUAAACUGAAGGAGGAUUUAAUAGUAAUCUUUUUUUAAUAAGAAAAGAUGAUAUAAGCUCUGAAAUAUGUACACAUCGCCCGUCGCUCUCA